AUUUGUGUUUCUUUUGAGGGCUAGCCAAAUUACUAUAUUAACAUACAGUAGCUUCCCUCCCAUUGCAAGGGAAUUGAAUUUCAUAUCAAAUCAUCUUGGUCUUCAAGGGACCGCUUUCGAGCUCGCAGAUUGAGCUUAAGACUUUCAGGUAGAGGAGGUGUCCUCCCUCUGCGGAAUAUAACUGCAAGAGCCCUCAUUUUCUUGCAGAGAUCAAAUACCUGCAAGACAAAAUGCAAGUAUUAUGCUUUAAGGCUUAUAGUUUUCGAACAACCAUGAUAAGUGGCAAUUAAUUGGCUAGUUAUUUACCGAUGAGGCUUCUAUCUCAGCAACACCCUCACAACCUUGACCUCCUCCUUCUAGCAAGUCACAAUACUUCACUGCCUCAUUUUCAUCUUCAAAUACCUGCAACCAUAUUGUCAAAUUAAGUGGUUAAAUUGUGCGUAUGGAAAAAAAAUUUACAAUCAACCAUGAGGUAUGUUAUAGACCAGAUUGUUCGAGUAUAAUCCAGGAAUUUAUAGGUUCCAUCAUAGCACAUUUAACAAAAGCAAUCAGAUUCCAAUUGCGUUCAAGUAAAAUGGAAGUGAACAAACUUCAGUACUUCGAUAUUUUCUGAUGUAUUUCACGUUAAAAAUAUUUGAAUGAUACUGAAUGAACAAAGAGUUUAGACACAAUUUCAUGUGUGUGUCUAAUAGAAUACAUACCAGCACUCCAUCCCUAAUAUCUUCUACAAGCAUUUGAAACUUUGUCCCUUCCCUCACUUUUUUGGAUUGAUUUCCAAUUCCAGAUCUCCAGCUGCCUCCUUUGGGAAACAAUAAGCCAAGCUCUCUUUCAACUUCACUGUUACAGAAGAAAGAAGUCAGGUAUAAGAAAUUCCAAAUAUUACUUGCAGUUGCAGGGCACAAAAAAAAUAACAGAAUAAAAUGAAUCAUACCUUAUAUUUCUCCGGGUUUUCAUUGUGCACAAUUGAUUUUCCUUUUGAGUGAGGACAUACACAGGCUUCGAAGUUUCUCUCCAAGGAUUGUCAUCUAAAACUGGUGAAACGGAAAGGAUAAGAAACGAUAAAUCAAUAAUGCUUUAAUUCCGGCAUUCCUUUCUACCCAUUACCAUGAAAACUGCUUAUAUUACUAAAACCCUUAAAGGAGAAGAACUGGGGAGGGGUGUGGGGGGGGGGGGGGNNNNNNNNNNNNNNNNNNNNNNNNNNNNUGUGCCACAGUAUCAGUGAUGUCCGGCUCACCCUCGCCUUCUCCGCCGAGCCUCCGCUGCUGCUGCUCAUCGCCGAUCGUUUCUACACUGGUUUCCACUUCUUUGGAAUCCAAAUGCAAAUGGAAUAGGAUUUGUGGCGUUCUUUCUAGUUACUAAGUGUGGUAUCUGAAUGUCAUUGUGAAGUUUUGUUUGUUCUCUACGUAACAGCUAUUCUGCUUUGAAUAAUUCAACAUCAUUUUCUUCUUCUUCUCCCGGAUGUUUUAAUUAUCAAAUAACCAAUUAGAUUUUCAAUCCAAUUUUAUAUAAUCCACGGAUUAAUCAAUUCAACUAUGUCCAAAAUCAAUUAUAAGCUUCUCAAUACCUCGAUUUUAUAUGCUUGAAAUUGUGUCGAUAGUUAAUAGAUAGCUGAGCUUCUUAAAUAUAUAGUUCAUGGUUCAAUUUCUAUUCUCGCACAAAACAAUAAGAUUUACGUAUACUUUUUCUUUGUUAAAUUAGUUAGUUGUAAUGUAAUGUGCAGACCAUAGACAUCGUUUGUUGGAAAUUAUGGCCUUGUUUAGAAGAAUUUAUUUGAUCUUAUUUGAUAAUAUAAGCUCUUAUACCAAUGUUUGGGAGAACUUAUGCAAACAGCUUAAUCUUAUGGCCUACCAUAAGCUGUUUUGAGCUUAUUUUCAUAAGCUACUCAAGAUAGCUUAUGAAAAAGAAUUUAUGCUUAUAUAUUACUUAUUUUCAACUUAUUUCAAUAAAAAAAAUUAAAAUAGCUUAAGAAUAAGAGCUUAUGACCAGAAGGGCUUAAUUGAGUUGUGUUUCCAAACGGGGCCUUAUGUCCAUGUUGGGUUAAGAAAUUGUUCGUGUUAAUGCUAAAGUGGAUAAGAUUUACUGAUUUAGGUAUUCAUUUUAUCAGAUUAUCACUUCCUCAAAUUACAAUCGGAUAUUCCAUGUUCCAAUAGGUGAGCAACACCUUUGACAUUUUAUGGAUGCAAUGUGGAUUUAUAUUGGAUUUUAUAGUCCACUUUCCAUAGGUGGCAUCAAAUUCUCAAUUAAAAGUCGGAAAUUUUGAACACGAGAAUGGAGAACACUAUAUAUACAUGCUAUAUUCUUUUUUCUUUUACUAUACUGAUGAAUGAAUAUGUAAUCAUUAUGUAUAUUUGUGUUUCUUUUGAGGGCUAGCCAAAUUACUAUAUUAACAUACAGUAGCUUCCCUCCCAUUGCAAGGGAAUUGAAUUUCAUAUCAAAUCAUCUUGGUCUUCAAGGGACCGCUUUCGAGCUCGCAGAUUGAGCUUAAGACUUUCAGGUAGAGGAGGUGUCCUCCCUCUGCGGAAUAUAACUGCAAGAGCCCUCAUUUUCUUGCAGAGAUCAAAUACCUGCAAGACAAAAUGCAAGUAUUAUGCUUUAAGGCUUAUAGUUUUCGAACAACCAUGAUAAGUGGCAAUUAAUUGGCUAGUUAUUUACCGAUGAGGCUUCUAUCUCAGCAACACCCUCACAACCUUGACCUCCUCCUUCUAGCAAGUCACAAUACUU
rnacentral:lncRNA from 1 species